rnacentral:rRNA from 1 species
GAUGAACGCUGGCGGCGUGCCUAACACAUGCAAGUCGAGCGGCAGCGCGGGGUGCUUGCGCCCUGUCGGCGAGCGGCGGACGGCUGAGUAACGCGUGGGAACGUGCCCCAAAGUGAGGAAUAACUGCCCGAAAGGGUAGCUAAUACCGCAUAUUAUCUUCGGAUCAAAGGAUUUAUCCGCUUUGGGAGCGGCUCGCGUCGGAUUAGGUAGUUGGUGAGGUAAUGGCUCACCAAGCCGACGAUCCGUAGCUGGUCUGAGAGGAUGACCAGCCAGACUGGAACUGAGACACGGUCCAGACUCCUACGGGAGGCAGCAGUGAGGAAUCUUCCACAAUGGGCGAAAGCCUGAUGGAGCAACGCCGCGUGCAGGACGAAGGCCUUCGGGUUGUAAACUGCUUUUAUAAGUGAGGAAUAUGACGGUAACUUAUGAAUAAGGAUCGGCUAACUACGUG